UACGGAGGGUGCAAGCGUUAUCCGGAUUCACUGGGUUUAAAGGGUGCGUAGGUGGGUUGGUAAGUCAGUGGUGAAAUCUCCGGGCUUAACCUGGAAACUGCCAUUGAUACUAUCAAUCUUGAAUACCUUGGAGGUGAGCGGAAUAUGGUCAUGUAGCGGUGAAAUGCUUAGAUAUGACAUAGAACACCAAUUGCGAAGGCAGCUCACUACACGGUCAUUGACGCUGAGGCACGAAAGCGUGGGGAUCAAACAGG
rnacentral:rRNA from 1 species